GACAGAGGGUGCAAACGUUGUUCGGAAUUACUGGGCGUAAAGGGCUCGUAGGCGGCCAACUAAGUCGGAUGUGAAAUCCCCAAGCUUAACUUGGGAACUGCAUCCGAUACUGGAUGGCUUGAAUCCGGGAGAGGGAUGCAGAAUUCCAGGUGUAGCGGUGAAAUGCGUAGAUAUCAGGAGGAACACCGGUGGCGAAGGCGGCCCUCUGGACGGAUACUGACGCUGAGGCGCGAAAGCGUGGGGAUCAAACAGG
rnacentral:rRNA from 1 species